rfam:Tupaia chinensis contig182615, whole genome shotgun sequence.
UUGCUCACUUGGCAGCAUGUAUACUAAAAUGAGUACAUUUAGAGAUUAGCAUGGCUUCUGCUCAAGAAUGGCAUGUAAAUUGAUGAAACCUUCCAUUGUUUU